CUUAAGCGGUGCACUCUGAGCGGCAGAGUAGCACCGCUUGGUCUCUCCCCAUGUAUAUAUAAAAUUAUAAAUCAGUCCGUAAACCCCCACCGCUCAGACAGCGAGAGCUAUCCCAUCUAUUUCUUCGCCUUUUACUUCGAGUUUCGGAUCUCCAUUUCUCGCGCAACCAUGGGCAAGGGUCCUGGCCUCUACUCUGAUAUCGGAAAGAAAGCCAGAGAUCUUCUCUACAAGGAUUACCAGAGCGACCACAAGUUCACCAUCACUACCUAUUCGCCCACUGGAGUUGCUAUCACCUCAUCAGGAAUAAAGAAAGGAGAUCUGUUUUUAGCUGACGUUAACACCCAACUGAAGAAUAAAAACAUCACAACUGACAUCAAAGUGGACACGAACUCCAAUCUUUUCACAACCAUUACAAUUGAUGAACCUGCUCCUGGUCUGAAGACAAUUUUCAGCUUAAGAGUUCCUGAUCAAAGGUCUGGCAAGGUGGAACUCCAAUAUUUGCAUGACUAUGCAGGGAUAAGCACCAGCGUUGGGUUGACUGCAAACCCUAUUGUUAACUUCUCUGGUGUUAUAGGAACUAAUCUUGUUGCACUGGGCACAGAUCUCUCAUUUGACAGCAAGACUGGGGACUUCACUAAAUACAAUGCUGGAUUGAGCUUCAUCAAUGCAGACUUGAUUGCCUCGUUGACUCUGAAUGACAAAGGUGAUACCCUGAGUGCGUCCUAUUAUCAUUCAGUGAAUCCCUUGAGCAACACAUCUGUUGGUGCCGAGGUUACUCAUAGCUUUUCAACCAAUGAGAAUACAAUCACUGUUGGUACACAGCAUGCAUUAGACCCAUUGACCUUAGUGAAGGCACGGGUGAAUAAUCUUGGCAAAGCUAGUGCUCUCAUCCAGCACGAGUGGCGUCCUAAGUCACUUUUCACCAUUUCUGGGGAGGUAGAUACCAGGGCCAAUGAGAACAGCGCCAAGGUUGGACUGGCUUUGGCUCUCAAGCCAUGAGUGUCCUGCCCUUUUAUUGUGUGGAGCAUUCAGCAAACUCUUGAGAGGGAGAGAAAGAGAGAGAGGCCCGUUCUGUCUGAAGACUUACAUAAGCUUUUUGGAGUAACGUAAUGGGUCUUUAGUAUAUUAUGCUUUGUUUUAGACCUUACAAUCUGUCUCCUAUAAGUGGCUGGAGGAUACCGUACGUGUCAAAGAAAAGGCCGAAUGACCAUAGCACUCUUCGUAACAAGCCACGAUGCGAGAUGGAUGCAAUAUUAAAUUGAAUAAGAGGCAUUUGAAAGGCAACAAGUUGUUAGACAAGAUCAAGUGGCGUUGUUGGGGGGCAUGGCCGACAGAAGUGGUAAGUGGCAUUGUGGGUACCGGUAUGUUUCUGGGUGGGUUCUCUGGGAGACCGAAACAAAGGACGGGCCUGAAGAAGACCCUCUCGAAUUUGUGCAGCAACGUCUCUCACCGCACCAGGUCCAUGCGGGAUGAAAAUAGAGGAGGACUUGGAGGAUGCCCCAAUCUCCUUCAUAGUGUCAAAGUAUUGAGUCACUAGCACCAUGUCCAUGACAUCCUUUGGAGUUGUUCCAGGCACAUUCUCAGAGAAGGCAAGUACGCUGUCCCUCAGCCCAUCAACAAUUGCCUGCCGCUGGCGAGCUAUGCCCAGUCCUGACAAGUAUUUGGACUCUGCUUCUCCUUCAGCUUUCUUUAUCUGUAAUAUUUUCUCGGCUUCCGCCUUCUCAUUUGCUGCCAACCUCAGUCUAGCGGCUGUGUAACACAGGUGAAAUGCAUUGUAUAAGGAUCCAGCCACUACACAAAUUUUCUUUUGCUGAGCUAAGCCACUACAUAAUUAAACAUGAAGUAAUGCAACCAAAUAGAGAAUUGGAAACUAUAUGGAAUUUAUGAGUACCUUAUAAUUAGUAGCAACUUUUUUCAGUA